UACGAAGGGUGCAAGCGUUACUCGGAAUUACUGGGCGUAAAGCGUGCGUAGGCGGUUUGUUGCGUCGGCUGUGAAAUCCCGAGGCUCAACCUCGGGUCUGCAGUCGAUACGAGCAAACUAGAGUGUUGCAGGGGAGACUGGAAUUCCUGGUGUAGCGGUGAAAUGCGCAGAUAUCAGGAGGAACACCUGUGGCGAAAGCGGCUCACUGGACCACAACUGACGCUGAGGCGCGAAAGCUAGGGGAGCAAACAGG
rnacentral:rRNA from 1 species